rfam:Exophiala spinifera strain CBS 89968 unplaced genomic scaffold supercont1.1, whole genome shotgun sequence.
GGUUUUGUAGUGUAGUGGUGAUCACUCCGGAUUUUGACUUCCACACACAAACUGUCAAAAACUCUUUCCGGCAACCCCGGUUCGAACCCGGGCAAGACCU